rnacentral:ncRNA from 2 species
UUCAUGUGAACCUACGCUGGUGCCUGUGUAAACAGGUGAAAAGGGAAUGUUGGAUUUCGGGGCCCUUGCCGGACCCGGUGUCAAGACAGCCGCCCCCGCGACCGUGAACGGAAGAGGGUUUCCGACGCCACUGGCCAUGUGCCGGGAAGGUGGAGACCCGCAGGGCCUAUGGCCCGAAACGCCGUGAGCCGGGAGACCUGCCAGCCCGAAACGAAGACC